UUUAUGGAGAGUUUGAUCCUGGCUCAGGAUGAACGCUGGCGGCGUGCCUAAUACAUGCAAGUCGAGCGAACAGAUAAGGAGCUUGCUCCUUUGACGUUAGCGGCGGACGGGUGAGUAACACGUGGGUAACCUACCUAUAAGACUGGAAUAACUCCGGGAAACCGGGGCUAAUGCCGGAUAACAUG
rnacentral:rRNA from 1 species